UGGGGAAUAUUGCACAAUGGGCGAAAGCCUGAUGCAGCGACGCCGCGUGAGGGAUAACGGCCUUCGGGUUGUAACUCUCUUUCAGUAGGGACGAAGCGCAAGUGACGGUACCUGCAGAAGAAGCACCGGCUAACUACGUGCCAGCAGCCGCGGUAAUACGUAGGGUGCGAGCGUUGUCCGGAAUUACUGGGCGUAAAGAGCUCGUAGGCGGUUUGUCACGUCGUCUGUGAAAUCCUAGGGCUUAACCCUGGACGUGCAGGCGAUACGGGCUGACUUGAGUACUACAGGGGAGACUGGAAUUUCUGGUGUAGCGGUGGAAUGCACAGAUAUCAGGACGAACACCGAUGGCGAAGGCAGGUCUCUGGGUAGUAACUGACGCUGAGGAGCGAAAGCAUGGGUAGCGAACAGG
rnacentral:rRNA from 1 species